UACGGAGGGGACUAGCGUUGUUCGGAAUUACUGGGCGUAAAGCGCACGUAGGUGGUUUGCUAAGCCAGCUGUGAAAUCCCCGGGCUCAACCUGGGCACUGCAGUUGGAACUGGCAAGCUAGAGUAGGGUAGAGGGGUGUGGAAUUCCAGGUGUAGCGGUGAAAUGCGUAGAUAUCUGGAGGAACAUCAGUGGCGAAGGCGACACCCUGGACUCAUACUGACACUGAGGUGCGAAAGCGUGGGGAGCAAACAGG
rnacentral:rRNA from 1 species